AGGACUAUACUUUCAGGGAUCAUUUCUAUAGUUUGUGACUUGAGAUAAUGUGUUUCUAAAGUGUCAUUGUCUCGCGUGCCCAUGAUGAGAGUUGGUUGAUGCUUCUUCUUGAACAUGAAGAAGGUAAAAUUGGUUUCAUCCCAUAGUUUCUCUAAUGACUGUUCACUGUUUUAUCAAUUAACAUGAAGAAAGGAGUUAUGAUCUGGUGGG
rnacentral:snoRNA from 1 species